CAGUCGCCGCGGGAAUACGGAGGGUGCAAGCGUUACUCGGAAUCACUGGGCGUAAAGGACGCGUAGGCGGAUUAUCAAGUCUCUUAUGAAACCUAACGGCUUAACCGUUAAACUGCUUGGGAAACUGAUAAUCUAGAGUAAGGGAGAGGCAGAUGGAAUUCUUGGUGUAGGGGUAAAAUCCGUAGAUAUCAAGAAGAAUACCUAUUGCGAAGGCGAUCUGCUGGAACUUAACUGACGCUAAUGCGUGAAAGCGUGGGGAGCAGACAGGAUUAGAUACCCCCGUAGUCCCUGUCUCUUAUAC
rnacentral:rRNA from 1 species